rnacentral:tRNA from 1 species
GGAGAGAUGGCAGAGUGGUCGAAUGCGGUGGUCUUGAAAACCACUGUACCGCAAGGUACCGGGGGUUCGAAUCCCUCUCUCUCCG